GCGACGGGUACUUCUGGAUCAGAGGGGCGCGGGUUCGAGUCCCGCCCGGCUUCGGCCGGUAGCUCAGUCGGUCAGAGCAUCUGACUGUUCUCCGUCGCCGA
rnacentral:Y_RNA from 2 species